rnacentral:rRNA from 1 species
CUUAGUGGCGGACGGGUGAGUAACGCGUGGGGAACCUGCCUUGCACCGGGGGAUAACACUUAGAAAUAGGUGCUAAUACCGCAUAAGCGCACAGAGCCGCAUGGCUCGGUGUGAAAAACUCCGGUGGUGCAAGACGGACCCGCGUCUGAUUAGCUGGUUGGCGGGGUAACGGCCCACCAAGGCGACGAUCAGUAGCCGGCCUGAGAGGGUGAACGGCCACAUUGGGACUGAGACACGGCCCAAACUCCUACGGGAGGCAGCAG